rnacentral:rRNA from 1 species
GACGAACGCUGGCGGCGUGCCUAAUACAUGCAAGUCGAACGCUUCUUUCCUCCCGAGUGCUUGCACUCAAUUGGAAAGGGGAGUGGCGGACGGGUGAGUAACACGUGGGUAACCUACCCAUCAGAGGGGGAUAACACUUGGAAACAGGUGCUAAUACCGCAUAACAGUUUAUGCCGCAUGGCAUAAGAGUGAAAGGCGCUUUCGGGUGUCGCUGAUGGAUGGACCCGCGGUGCAUUAGCUAGUUGGUGAGGUAACGGCUCACCAAGGCCACGAUGCAUAGCCGACCUGAGAGGGUGAUCGGCCACACUGGGACUGAGACACGGCCCAGACUCCUACGGGAGGCAGCAGUAGGGAAUCUUCGGCAAUGGGCGAAAGUCUGACCGAGCAACGCCGCGUGAGUGAAGAAGGUUUUCGGAUCGUAAACCUCUGUUGUUAGGGAAGAACACGGACGUUAGUAACUGAACGUCCCCUGACGGUAUCUAACCAGAAAGCCACGGCUAACUACGUG